GACGAACGCUGGCGGCGCGCCUAACACAUGCAAGUCGAGCGAAGCGGCGGUCGGGUGAGUAACACGUGAGUAACCUGCAUUAGACAUUGGGAUAGCCUCGGGAAACCGGGAUUAAUACCAAAUGGUCUAAGAUGGACUCGGGUCCCAUUAUCUAGUUGGUGAGGUAACGGCCCACCAAGGCGAUGAUGGGUAGCCGGCCUGUGAGAGAGACCGGCGACUUUGGAGCUGAGAAGCGGUCCAAACUCUACGGGAGGCGGCCGUGGGUGAUAUUGCACAAUGGAGGGAACUCUGAUGCAGUGACGCCUCGAGAGCAAAUACGGCUGUCGAGUCGUAAAGUUCUUUUAUAUGGGAAGCGGUAACAUCAGAAGAAGCCCCGGCUAACUACGUGCCAGCAGCCGCGGUAAUAC
rnacentral:rRNA from 1 species